rnacentral:rRNA from 1 species
AGUGAACGCUGGCGGUAGGCCUAACACAUGCAAGUCGAACGGCAGCACAGUAAGAGCUUGCUCUUACGGGUGGCGAGUGGCGGACGGGUGAGGAAUACAUCGGAAUCUACUUUUUCGUGGGGGAUAACGUAGGGAAACUUACGCUAAUACCGCAUACGACCUACGGGUGAAAGCAGGGGAUCUUCGGACCUUGCGCGAUUGAAUGAGCCGAUGUCGGAUUAGCUAGUUGGCGGGGUAAAGGCCCACCAAGGCGACGAUCCGUAGCUGGUCUGAGAGGAUGAGAACGGACACUGGGAUGCACACGCGGCCCAGAGUGGUUAGGGAGGGCGGUGUGGGGAAUAUUGCCUUAUGGGAGAAAGAAAGAGCAACAAAUACAGCGUGAGCGAUGAAGGAGUUAGGGAUGGAAAGCUCUUUGACACGCGAUGAUAAUGACAGUGCCGGAAGAAUAAGCACGGGAUAACUUCGUG